GAUUGAAUGGCUGAAGUUUAGGCAAUAAAUUGUAAAUUUAUUUAUGGGAAUUGAUCUCUUUAAUCA
rnacentral:tRNA from 1 species